rnacentral:rRNA from 2 species
CUAUGGAGCUUUAAACACUUAAGUUACUAUCUUACUUACCGACAAUCUAAAGACUUAACCUACCCUAAUAGUAACCUAACUUAAUGUUUUCGGUUGGGGCGACCAAGGAGUAAAAGAAAACCUCCUUAUCGAUUGAGUAUUUUUACUUAAAAAUCAGAACGACAGCUCUGAUCAAUAGAAUAUCUAACGAGUAAUGACCCAGGGUUAUACCCUGAUCAAUGAACCAAGUUACCCUAG